rnacentral:miRNA from 1 species
UUAUCAGGUGGAAGAACUCAGCU